UUGUGAUGUCAUAUACUUUCAAAGGUCCC
rnacentral:piRNA from 1 species